rnacentral:lncRNA from 1 species
AAAAAGGUGUCUGUUUUGAGAAGUGAAAGAUCUGGUUGAUGAUUGUGGUAGGGAGACCCAUGAGUUCUGGUAUAAUCAUACGCCUUUUGCAGGAGGACAGUAUUGAAAAAGCACCACCACCUAAGGCUGGUGGUGAGUAAUGAUUCAUGGACCUGUUUGUGUAUGCCAUUGAAGUUGCUACACAUUAGUUGCAGGAAGUUGGUUUCAUUAUCCUUGCUUGUCAUUUUCUUCUUUCAAUUAUGCUUCCUUUUUAUCCAUUAAUCCAUAUGCUUCUUUUAGAUGCCUCUUAUUUAGGCCACCUUGAUUGCUGACAUUCGGAUAUAAAGGUGGCAAAUUGGGUUCUGGUUAGAUAACUAAUAGUUGAGUGAAGGUAGUCAAGGUGUCCAUGUACAAAAUACUUUGGGUAAAAAAAUCAUUAUAGACAUUAAUAACAAUCCCGAACACUUUCUCAACACCGAGCUGUAUUACGAUUCACGUGUUGUUGGGGAGUAUUAUGAGAGUCUGACCUCACACUUGCAGUUGUUGCUUACCAUAGAGGGAUGUGUGAUGAUGAACUUAUCAUUGUAACAGGCAAGUUUUUUUUUUUUUUUUUGUUUAAGUUGCAGGCCAGGUAGUUAUAUGAUGUUCAAUGACCGUAAUAGAAUUUGAUAUUUCAUUUGUGAAGCCACUGGAUGUCGAAUUAUUGAAGGUAAAUUAUGUUGGAAAAGAAUAAAUGUUGGGUGGUUUUAUUUGCAAAUAUACAGUGAUAGUUAGUAGAGAUGACAAAAAUGUGCGGGUUGGGUGGGUUAGGUAUGGGUCAAAACAGAUCCACAGAGGCAGCAAUGAGAGGAAGGAAGGUGCAUACCCCUUCUAACAAU